UUAAAGGGGCCUCGCCUGCGCGCGCCUCUCCCGCCUCGGCCUUUACCACUCUCCGCACUCCUCCCCUCCCCCCAACUGGGCCACCCCUACCCUGGGGUCCCGGAGAGCAGGGGACUUCUCCGUGACCCCAAGUUUGCAUUGCCAGCCUCGCACCGGGCAGAGAUUUUACAUAGACCUAAUCUCGACAUCAUUAAGGUUCCCUGCCUGCGGAUCAGAAGGUGAACCUGGGUCUUUGUGCUCUGGCCUCCGGGGAGACCACUUCGCCGUGCUCUCAGCGACCAGUGGAGGCGCGCUGGUGUCACUGCCUCGCUUGGAGUACCACUUUCCCAGCUCGAAUCCAUCACUCCGAUUGUCAGGCCUGUCACUCGGGGCAUAUUGCUCCAGGACUACCCGUCCCUGACUCUGCUGCUCGUUGAUCAACGCCCUGCGAUCACAUGAGAACCAAGACGGGGAUAGAUGAUUUCAAAGGGGUCCUUCCAACAGAAUGAAACAACUGUCAUGGAAAUAACAAAUAGCAAUCACGAACCUUUAUCAUGUUCCGUAAAGGAGGCAGCAGGCACCACUCCCAGGCCCUAUCCGUCAUACGCUCAACUGAAUGUACUCCCUGGAUGCGUCUGUUUUUUAGACAGUAUGCAUAGACCUCUAAAAAAUUACACAGGCUUUCCCUACCCUAACUUUCAUCCUGGUAAAAUUAGGUUACAAUGAAUGCCAGGGGAUGUCCUGACUGGGUGAUGUAUUCCAUAUUGCAGCAAGAGGGGUACCAGAAGGAGGGGGGGCCCACUUAUUUCAUUGUGGUUGUCCUUAUUCCCCACCCCCAUCUCUUCUCGUGCCAGCUUCUGAGUACUCUAACGUCCCUGCCACUGCCAACACCAAUUUUAAAUGUCCAUUGCAGGGCUGCUUCAGUCUUAGAGGUCAUUUGGCCUUUGGGAGACUGCUCUGCAGAGAGAGGAAGUGAGAAUGGAAGAGGGUGGGCCUUUGUAGGCAUUUAGAGGAGGAACUGGGAAGAGGGGCACCCUUGGAGACAGGAAGAGAUGAAAGACCCCUUCUUGAUGAUUGUAACCAGCUCAGCUGUGAGUGCCAGCCAAGAACUCCUGCUAGGGCCCAAGCAGAUGUGUGUUGGGA